GCAGUUCUCAGUGUUGGAUAUGGGGGGUAUGCAUUGAAGAGCUUUCUUGCAAGGAAUGGUCCAGCAACCCACAGUCACGAUGACGGAAAAGCAUAUAAAGAGACCCAUGCAAAGUAGAAAGUAGAAAUCACGCAUCUGUUUAUGAUGAUUAUCAACCGGCACAACCCCCUUGCGGAUCUGCCUUUGUUCCCUUUCAUCCUUAAUUUCUACGGUUGUAGGAUCUUCAGAAGCAACCUGCCCUGAAGCUUCUAUUAUCGUUGAAGUCCAGUACGAUAAUAUGUUGGCUUUGAGCCCAUGAUCUGAAGGUGAAGUUUCUAGCUUCACCAGAUCACUUUCCAAUUUAUUUCGCUCAAUCUUGGUUUGGUGUCUCUGCAGGACACUUCUUUUAUAAUUGCUUCCAAUUACAAGAAAUGAAACCAAAUUGAAAACGGUUGCAAUUAGAGAGAGGCUGAAAAGGAACCAAUGAUCUGAGCAUCGGAGCGCUGUGGUGGCAGUGAUGAUAGCCCCCAAAAGAAUUCCUUGGAAGACGAAGUAGUAGUUUGCAAGGUUGAAGGCACCCGUUUGAAGAUGGUUUACACGAUCGUCCUGCUUCUCAAUUACAGCUUGUAGCUCCUCUUUUCUUUUGUCCAUGUUUUCUUUUUUUUCAUUGUCACCAUUUGGUGGACAUGUCUGGUUAACCAUACUUAAACUAAGAGAGCUAAAGAUAAGAAUGCAGAGAGUCUUAGAGUAAAGUCCCCUCCUCCAUACAACUUAUAUAUACAAAUAUACUGUUGGCUUUUUGAAUAAUCCAAAUACACUCACUCUCACACUCAGCUGCACCUGAUUCUAUACACAACAAAAGACUCAAAGUAAAGCAAGUCUUUUCAGUGCAGGACGUCCGUUCUUUGCUAAAGAACAGAUUUUGUACUGAUAAUGUUGUCAACACCGUAUCAACACAUAUAAUCGAGGACGGAUUUUGUAUUAAUAAUGCUGUCGACCGCUGUAUGAACCGAAAAAAAAAACAGAGCGGAGGAAAGUUGCUCUCGGUACAAACUUCUGCUUGUCUAUUGGAAAGUGAGAACAUCUCUUUGGCAAAGUGUAGACCGUUGAAAGGGAAAACUUCCCUGUUAACGCAUAUUAUCCACACACAAAAGCUUAAAACAAUCAACAUCCUGAGGAAAACCUUUGCAUCUUCUCAAGGGUGACUAGUGGAGGGACCACUAAUUUGUCUUCGAUGACAAUUAUUAGCAAUUGAUUUUGUGAUUUUUCCGGCCGAAUAAGAUACGUGGGGCUGAGGUUUUCUUUAUGGGUUUGAAAAAUUGGAGAUGCUCUUCAUUUGGGGUCAUUGGGCUUUUGGUCAUCUUUUUAAAGUACUUGAACAUGCAAUUGAUCUUAUGUAUAUGAUUUAUUGCAUCUGAAAUUAAAAGUAUCAAGUCAAUGGAUCGAUAUACGUGUUUAGAUUGCUUAAACAAAUCAAAGUACCCUUUUAUAUAUUAUCUUGAAUUGAUGAACUCAGAUCAACAUAUAUAUGCUUGAAUUCACCAAAUUGAUUGUUUUACAAUUUUCUCUGUACUCAACAUAUAUAACUAGUGUAGAGGCUAAAAAAGAGUGUUAAACCUAAUCUAUGUCCACCUUUUAGGACUUUUAGAAUUUUAACCACUCGAGGGGGAUUUGAGCACUGCUUGAGGAAUCUAGAAGGGGAUUUGAGUACUGCAAGAGGAAUCUCAAAUAGGGCUUGUGAAGUGAUCAAGGAAACCUCAAGUGGCUAUAUUUCUAAAUCUUGAAGAAAAAAAAAAAAAAAAAGCUUAAUGUCUUUCAUGUGUUUUAAAAAUAUUUAGUUGUUGCCAAAUUGAUUGUCAUGCGCGGGUUGCUCACAUUAGAAGGGAAUGAAAGGAAUUGAGGUUCCAUUCCAAAACCAAUGUAUAGUUAGGGGGAGUAGUCCAACUCCUUAUAAGCCCUUGCAAGGUUUUAUAACUUUCCUUGUAUUCUCUUCAUAAUUAUCAUGAAUUUCAUUUUUUAAAUUUGUUAAAUACUUAUUUCGUCAUCCACACUAUUAAAGAUUUAAAAAUUAAUAAUUUUUUUUCCAAUAGAGAAAAAAAAAAAAGUUCAUGAAACUCAAUAUUAAGGUACCCAACUCAUACAAAAUAAAAAAAUUCACAAAGCUUUAAACAAAAGAGGAAGAGAACUUUAAGAGUUUUUAGUGCAAAUGUCUUAAACUACCGUGGCUAGGAGAACUGUGGCUUAUACCAUAGUUUUCUAGUAGUGUGGCUCCGGCCCUGCUGGUAUAGCACAGCUUGGCGGUGCUCAAAGGUGUGGUAGGCAGUGCACUGGUGUUGCUAGUGAUUUCACGAUUGAGUUGGGAGAUGAGGGAAGAGGAGAUACGUAUAGGGUUAUUAAAUCUUUUUAUUUUUUUCCUUAAGAAAAGACUAAAAUCGAAAAGAAUAAUAAAUAAAUAAUAAAUAUUUAUUGGCUGGGCUGGGGUGGCUUUUCUUGUUAGCAUAGAUUAUGUACCUAUAUUUCAUCUUUUUCUUAAAUAUUAUAAUAAUAUUCUACCCUAUCCCUUGUACUAGUUGGUGGUUUAUAGCUUAUCACAUAUAGGUAAAUUGUUUUGGUACUAGGUAAUUUGCUUUCAUGUAUAGUUAGUAAGCAAAGUGUUUUGAUUUGGAAGCUUGCCACGAAAAAUAAAUAUGAUCAUAUGGAAGUAAGAAAAUAUGAGUUACAAGCAGAAAAGCCAACUUUUUUUUAUUUUCUGUGCUAAAGGCCUAAAUUCAUUAGAAUCUUAUCUUUUAUAUGAGGCCUGAUUCUUUAAUAACACCCAGAAAGUCUUAUUUGUAAAAUAUGUAUACAAGCACAAAAUCAUAUAAACCAUUACAGAUAAUGACGAGCAUCAAAAUACGGUAAACUUUAUUGUGGUUCCAAUCUACUUGGAUAACCCUAGCUCAAAGCUAUAUAGAACUGUUGAACUUGAAGCCCUAGAAUUGGGUGCAAAUGCUCAUACACUUGGCACCUUCACAAACCCUAAUGCAUUUAUCACCUUUGGCGUUUGAUAUCGGGGGUGUGCAUUGAAGAGUUUUCUUGCAAGGAAUGGUCCAGCAACCCAUAAUCACAAUGACGGCAAAGAUUAUAAAUAGACCCAUGCAAAGUACAAAGUAGAACUCACGUAGAUGAUUUGUUACAACAGGAAUGACCCUCCUUCUAUGCCUUAGUUCCGGUUCAUCCUUAAUUUCUACGGUCGUAGGAUGUUGAGAGGUCGUAGGAUGUUGAAAAGCGACCUCUGGAUGUUGAAUCUUUGUCGUAUCCCAGUAGGUUAAUAUUUUAGUUUUGAGCCUUUGAUCUGAAGGUGAAGUCUCUAGCUUGCUCAGAUCACUUUCCAAUUCAAUGAGCUCACUCUUGGUUUGGUGUCUCUGCAUGACGCUUCUUUUAUAAUUGCUUCCAAUUACAAGCAAUGAAACCAAGUUGAGUAUGGCUGCUAUCAGAGAGAGGCUGAAAAGGAACCAGCGAUCUGAGCAUCUGAGCGCUGUGGUGGCAGUGACGAUAGCCCCCAAAAUAAUUCCUUGAAAGACGAAGUAGUAGUUUGCAAGGAUAAAGGCGCUCGUUUGAAGUUGACGUACUUUAUCAUCCUGCUUCUCAAUGGUAGUUUGCAACUCCCGUUUUCUUUUCUCCAUGUUUUCUCUCUUUUCUUUGUCACCAUUUGGUGGACAUGGAUGGUUAACCAUAUUCAUACUAAGAGAGCUAAAGAUAAGAAUGCAAUGCAAGGAGUCUUAGAGUAAUUCAAGUCUCCUCCUCCUCCAUACAACUUAUAUAUACAGAGAUACUUCUGUUGGCUUUUUGAAUAUGCCAAAACACUCACUGACUCUCACACUCAAAAGUCAAUAUUGUGUAUGUUGCUGUCUAUGUUUUGUAGUACCGUAGUGGAAACGUAUGAGGUAAGGUAACCCCCUUCCCCAUUCUACCUUGGACAAAACAAAAAAAGGCACGAUUUCUAUUCAUUGUUAAAGGACGAAUCAACACAACGAAACCAUUGAAACGUGAGAACAUCUUCUUGGCAAAGUUUACACUGUUGAAAAGGAUUACGCUUCAACCUCCUUUUGCUUUACAGAUCACCCGCACACAAAAGCUUUGAGCAUAUGUGGCUUAAAACAAUUCACGGAGGAAACAAUUGAAAUAAUUCAAGAUCUCUAGUCUAAUUCAGUCAUUUCAAGAUCAUGGGUGUCUAGUGGAGGGACCCCUAAUUUGUGUUUAAUGAUAAUUAGCUACUGAUAAUGUGAUGUUGGCUGCCUGCCAAAAGAUUAACGCGGCUGGCUGGUUCUCAAGUUUUCUUUAUGGGUCUGAAAAUUUUGAGAUGCUUCUUCUUUUCGCCUAGAGAGUAGAGAAAAGAGCUGUGUCACAUUGGGCUUUUGGAUCAUAUAUAUAGUUAAUGCAUAAGCGAGGACCCAAAGUAAAAGUUAAAUUUGUGCAUUUCUAAAAGCCCAAAGCCUAACGUUGGAGGAAAAAUACUUUUUAUUAUAACGGAAAUUUGUUUAAGGUAUAAGCUUUAAGGCCAUCUCUAGUUAUAGGACUAAAUGUAGUCCAUGACUAAAUAUUUAGUCCUUUAAAAUAUUAAUUUUUUAAAGAAUAGUGUAUGGUUAAAUUUUUUCAUCUCCAGCCCCCUUCAUAUUUUAUUAUUUAAAAAAAACUAUAGUACAAUACUCAUACAUUCCACAACUAUAUAUUGUUUAAUGUAAUUAAACUACUAUUUAGAGACAACAUUCCAUGACCAAUAAUUUUUUAUAAUUUUUUUUAAAUAACACUUGAAAACAUUUAAAAAGGUGACCGCAUUUAUUAUAUAUAUAUACAUAUAAAAGGAUGGGUUUCAAUGGUCUGACCUCCAAUGGUCAUGACCAGUAAUUUUUUACGAAUUGAAAACAUUUAAAAAGGUGACCACAUUAAAAAAAGAAAAUAGUUGGGUUUAAAUGAUCUGACCCCAAUGGUCAUGACCAAUAAUUUUUUAUAAAAUUUUUCUUAAACAACACGAAUUAAAAACAUCAGUCCCGAUCUCUUGGACCACAGGAGUCCAAGAGAUUGUGGUCACCCACCGUUGGAUAUUAAUCCAAUGGUUCAAAAAAGUUUUUUAAAAGGAGUGCAAGAGUGAGUGAACCGUUGAAUUUACAUCCAACUGUGAGUGACCACAAAUCUCUUGGACCCCUGUAGUCCAAGAGAUCAGGACUGUUAAAAACAUUUAAAAAGGCUUUUAAAAAUAUAUCGAUGACAUCAGCGCUUUUAUUGUUGGCUGUUGGAUAUGCAUUUACACGAGAUGAUUCGUGCUGUUGCCCACACUUGAUAAUUUAUCUUCUUCAAAAGCACACGUACGGGACCCACAAAAAAUUUGGCAUAGGCCAAAGUUGGGCUAAAUGUGGCCCGGUUGGAGGGUUAAAGGGCCAAAUGUACCCCUCCAAAUUUGGCCAAAAUUUUAUUUUGCCCAUGACUGGAGAUGGCCUAAGUAUCUCUUCUUUGACCGUGUAGCUGAGACAAAUACCAGUAGCUUUUAGAUCCUCUGCUUGCCUUUUCCUCUUCUUUGGGCAUUCUUUCAUCUCAAUGAAGUUUUGCUUGUUCAACCAAAAAACAAAACAAAACAAAAAAACAAAAAAAUUCAACUACACAAUAUCGUGUGAGUAAAGUCUACAAAAUGUUGUUGUUAUAAAAAUAUGAAUAUUGUUUGAAUACUUUAGGUUGAUUAUAUUCUUCUCCAUAAUUAGGGAUAUAUAGGAGUUUACAUGAGUGCUUUACAAAGAAAUAGAUACAGUAAAUAAUUAGGAGAAUAUCUCUUCAUUAUACAAGGACAUGCCAACUAUAUAAAAUAAGAAAGUAAAUCCCCUAAUUAAUCAAGGAAAUAAAUCUCCUUGACUAAUUAGGAUAGCUCAUGUCAACAGCUGUCGCACGCCAAUCAUGCAAGAGGAUGUAUCAACGGUAACUAUGCAUAAACCUUGCAAGCUAGUUGGGCAGAACUUACACUAGAAAGAUACACCUAGUCGGGGAAUGUAAUGAGCCUUAUCCUCAAAUGCAUCUCUAAACAUAAAUAAAAGUGUAAUGACCCAAACCUAAAAUUCAUAUUUAAUUAGUAAUUUAUUAUGCGGAAAGACAAUUUUGCCCUUGGAAUAAAUUAUGAACUCAAAGUUGACUUUUUGACCGAAAAGAAAUUUGAUAAUUCCACAUACACCGUUGCGUAGAGCACGACGACACGAGUUCGUAAACACGAAGUGAGCUCGAAUCGGAGUUUUAACGAAGAAAAUACGAGUAAAAUAUCACGAGGGGCAAAAUGGUAAUUUGAAAAAUUAGAUUUUAUAAAAAACCUCAGCUUUCUCUCUCUCUCUCUCUCUCUCUCUCUCUCUCCUUCUCUCUCCCCGCGAGCUCUCCCCCUCUCUGUUUUUUUUCCUCCAGCCGUCGCACUUCAAACGUCCAUAACUCCCUCCACCGACCACCUCUGCACCUGCCGUCGGCGCCAACAGAACCAGCUCGGUUCCGUCUUCAAGCCCCGACCACUCUCCGCUGCCAGCCGUCACUGUAGUCGCCGGAAUCCGUCCAAAAACGAGUCAGUUUUGUCAAAACUUCAAACUGUUCGUUCUCCUUCAAUUAUCCUCCGAAUUUGUCAAGGUAUGGAUUUCUAUCUAUUUUCUGUGCUCUAGCUGAUGGUUGGGUAGGUUUGCAUUGAUUUUUACCGUAGCUAGUUCAGUUAUCAAAUUGGAAGUCGGCCGACUUUCGGCCUCCGUGUUCGGCCACUUCUAUCGGCCGACUUCCGGUCAGUUUUUGGGGUUGGUCCAAGAACAAAAGUGGUUCCAAAUAUGGUGUUAUACCUAGAAUAGGAGUUUGGAGCCUUGGUUUUGAGAUUUUCUGGUGAUGCGUUAUCGCUUUGGACACCCAUUGCUGCCGGCGCGUGCGACGGCGCGUGGGCAAGUGUGGUGCAGUGACACUGUGUUCUGAUGCAAUCCUUAGGUCGUCACGAGCGCGUAGAAAUUCGCGGAUCUCAAUUUGGAUACCGUUUGAGCCUCGAACGGAUUUUCCAUAUUGUGCGAUUAUCGGGUUCAAUACUGUCGAGCCGUUGGAUAGUAAUAAAUUUUAGAUAUGUUAUUCGAGAUAAUUUUAGAAACGUGUAGGAUUCGACGGAUUGUGAAUCGGAGUCCCGGAUACUCCGAAAACGCGACCCUAGGGCGAGGGUUUAGAAAUUAUGCGAUUACAGGAUUGUGAUCAAUCCGACCGUCCGAUCAACACCAGUACCCUCGGGACAUACCCUCGGAGUCCCGGAUACUCCGAAAACGCGAACCCUAGGGCGAGGGUUUAGAAAUUAUGCGAUUAUAGGAUUGUGAUCAAUCCGACUGUCCGAUCAACACCAAUACCCUCGGGACAUGUGUCCUAAAUAUAUUGGACCUUCUAGCGGCAUCCGGAUCAUAUUGUGAGGUCAUGGACCCGUGGGGUUUUGGAUUGACUUUUUGGACCUUAGCGCUAUUUGAGUCCCAAGAUACCGCUAAACUACCCCACGUGGAAGGAAAGCUUUUAUGGGCAUAGGGAUCACUUUAAAUUGCUGCACGUACUUUUAGGAGCCGGGGGUAGGAUUUUUAAUUUAAUACUAUAUUGUAUUAAUAAAAUAUUAUGGUCAUUGAAUCAGGCACCCGGGCACCCGUUGACCCGCAGGAGGGACCUUCAAGAGGUCCAACGAGCUCAGACUAUCAGUGAGUGGACUCUUUGUUUUAAUAAAUGAAUUUAAGCAGUUCAGUUUCAGUUAUCAGCUGUUUUAUUCUGUAAAAUAUUUUAUGUUGCAUGCUGCCGAGUGAAAUUUCCUUUAAAGCUUAUAGGAACAGAUAUUCUCGUUAAUUGUCAGAUAAAUGGCAGCAGAAUUUAAAAGGUUACAGAAAGUUAAUUAUUUAAUAGUUUUGCUUCAGAAACUUUAUAUUUUCUUAAAUCACCUUGUACCCAGUUAUUAAAUGUUGUCUUCGGAUUAUAUUUGUUGCCUUCGGUUUAGUCAGCAUGCUUGACAGUUGCCCCACGAAUUCCUUGGUACUCGAACUCGUGUGGAGCGAGUAAUGCGGAUAAAGGUGGACUACGGUUCCCUGAAUCCUGCCAGUUGCAGCUCAGACUGACCUCAUGUCACUGAGACCUGCGAGUAUGUGUCACCCAUGGUGAUGCAAGGAAUUGACGGAUACAAGGAAUUAACGGAAAGAGGGUACACCUAGGUGAUAGUUUAAAUUGUUUUCAGGUGUAUAUAAUUAUAUACAGGCAUUGAUUUCAGAAAUGAAGCAAAAAAGCUAGUUUGUAUAACUGUUUUUACAGUGGGGUUAGUAUGUUCAUAUGGUAUUUUCUAAACUUUGUUUUUGGGUCCACUCACCCUUUUUGUUGUUUUGCGCCCCCAGGCAGUAGACGUGCACAGGAAUCCACCACCGGGCCACUUUCCAUCUUCCGCGCCUUUCUUCUGAUGUAGGAUUUUGUUUUGUAAACAGAUUCACUCUUUUGUACAUUUAGUAGUCGCUCUGAUUUUUGCCCUAGACUGAGAUUUGAACUGUUGGAAUGUAUAUAUACAUAUGAUGGCAGUUGGUUGUAUAUAUGUAUACUUGUUUGGCAAGUGAAAAUGUUUUGGUAUUGAGCCAGUUACAAGGGAAACUCUGCCGGUUUUUCGGUAGAAGUCAACCUUGUUAUUUUCUCAUGUUUUGUAUAGAAGGGCAAAUAGGUCAUUUAUGCCCGACAUUUGCCAGAUGUCGGACACGCACAGGGUCUGACUCGGAUUCCAAAGCGGAAUUUGGAUCAGGUCCUGUCAAAAAGCCUUUUAAAAAAAAUGAAAAUCACCACAUAAAUAGAAUUCAACACAAAACAAUACUAUUUAAAUCUAAAAAGUUUACCUUGCGAGACUUAGAAGAUAAUAUACCAACAACAAAAGGUUACCCUAUGAAUAGUAUGGUCUCUUGGGAUUCCAAUUGUAAUCCAACAUAAUAAAAGAAUACCUAUAAAUAAUGUGUUAAGGGCUUUUUUUUUAAAAAAAAAAAAGAAAAAGAAAAUGUAGAAUGACCCUUUUUUAUAAAUAAAAUAUAGGACUUUUAAUUAAAUAUACCAACAACAACAUCAAACAUCUGAACAUUAAUCAUAAGUAAUAGCAAGAGAGUAAAAAGAAAAAUUAAGUGCAAAAAUUUUAUAUGCUUCUCAAAAAUACCACAUAUGCUUGUUGAUAGAGACAAACGCAAAAAUUUGUGGAAAGACGCUUGUAUGGAGAACAAAACCUCCGCGCAGCCAAAAAUUGAUGGCGACAACAAAACUCUGCCCACAAAGUCACAAUGCGUAAAGAAAACAGAGGAGACGGCGUUUGGAUUCGGUUGGGCAGAUUAGAUACGCCUUUUUUACUAUCUUUACUAUUCUAUAAUCUCUCCUGUACUAGGCUAAUUUUUUUGGGGAAAACUCUGGGCCCGUAGCAGCUCAGUCUGCCGUCCAUGUACAUGAACUACAACACCCAAAAUUACCAAUACAAUUUUUAAAUUCUCAUAAGUAAAAAUAAGUAGAUACUCAGACCAAAAAAAAUAUCAAACUCAAAAAAAGUUAAUGUAAUUAUUACAAAUAAAAAAAAUUGUAAAAUCAACCGAGACGACAGAAACUACAGUCGCAACCAUGAAUAGUAAGAGCUCUAUUUAAUUAUGCUUUUUUAAAAAUAAAAAAGAAAAAAAAGAAAUCUUGUUGGACUCUCGUUUUCUUUUUGGCAAAUAAAAGGUAGGGGUCGUUUUUAAUAAACACCAAUACCAAAUAAUUGGAUAUUUGGAAUUGGACAUUAUCUGUCUUUCAUUUUCUUGGAUUUACCAAAAAAAUAGAAUAUUUUUCAUAAUUUUGACAAUGUUUCAUUUUUUUCUCCACUAUUUUAGCAUCUUUAAAAGCUCAACAUUCAUCUCCUCCUUCUUCCAUUUUCAGCUGUUGCAUCUGUUGGCUACAUCCAUUUGAGAUAUUUAGUAAUAUAUUCAUUCUUAACAUUAAAACUAUAAAUAAAUUUUACACUAUUUAAUUUCUAUAAACAAACCUAAAAAAAAAACUUAAAAAAUGACAGUUAGCCCUAUUGAAUUUAAUUUUGAUUAUUAAAUUACUUUGAUGUCCUAUUGAGUGUUUUAGGCUUUUUUAUGAGGUUUUUGGGUUGGGUUUGUUUUAAGAAAUCAAUGGCAAUUUUGUAAUUUAAAAGAAGUUAAAAGCCUUUUUAUUAUUGAAAUUGGUACUGAGGUGACGAGGGGUAAAUUUAAAAGAUAUUCAAUCAAGAACACAACAACCUUCACACACUCUAGACCUUGACCAAAUACUCUUAUGACUAGUCAACUAUUAGAUAUGAAUUAUACCAAACAAUAACAUACACAGAGCAUACCAAGAUGUACCUGCAGGCCUAGAGAAUUACUAGUGGCAACCUAGGCACUCAGAAGGACCCAUCAAUCUAGGCAUCCCUUGUGCUAGCAACAACUAUGGUGAAAGUGUGUGAAGACAACAUAAUCAAGUAAACACCAAAUAGCAGAAAAAGAUGACUAGUCAACCGCACAAAUUCAGAUGACUAGUGAACUAUCAAGAACACAAACUCAGAAAAUUUACAGAGAUGGAAACUAGAAAUUGUUCACCCAGAAAUCCACCAUUGGGAAAAACUGGGGGUCAUUAACCGACCAGGCAAUCCACUAAGCAAAAAAGAUUCUUACAAAGAACACUAGCAAGCUCAAGAAAUUCCUAGGUCUAUUUAGGAAGAUGAGCUAUACCUCCUUUGUGCAAUCUUCUUCUCAAACUUAGCAAAGCUUGAAGCUCAGUUCUUCAUGGCAAUGGCAGCUCCUUCUCCAGCUCUUUCAUCCCAUGACACUAGCUUGCAAGCUCUAACUCAGACAGAAAUGAAAUUUGGAUUCAUGGAGAAAAUGACCAAUUUCUUCAAGAAACCAUAUUCUUGAAGAAAUCAAUCUUGAAUCUGACCUAGAUGUAUAUGAUAGAGCGUUUGAUCUAGCAAGAUAAAGUUUUCAUAUUUCAAAUGCAGUUUUCAAAAAGAAACAAUUUGAAACUCAAAGAUGAAAAAUAUGAAGGUUACUCAUGAAGAAGAAGAAGCGAAAGUUUGCUAUGAAACUUUCCAAAACCUAUCCCCAAAAGUGACGGCUUCCCAAAGAAGAAUCGCAAGGCCUUUACAGACCAAAAAUUCCCGUAGGUCAGAAUCCCAUGUGGCAGCCAAGAGAGAAAAAAGAAUAGGACAAAAAAGUUGGUUAUCAAGCUGGAGAGCAAGGAUGACUAGUCAUCCAAGAAACAGAUGACUAGUCAUCAUUUUAUGAAAACAGUAUGAUGCAAUGUUAUGCAAUACACAAUUUACCUUUGCUAAUUUGCAUGAACCUCCAUAUGAUAGUUGUUAGUUUAGAACACCUAGAAAAGCUAUUCUCAAUCUAAACUUGAGCUUGAUAAAUAACAAUAGAAAUCCUAUUACAAAGUUGUCAAGGGAAGCCAAAAGAAAAAACCAAAAUGCAUACAUUAACAAUUAUGUUGUAAAUGGACUUUGGGUGUGUUUCUAAAGUCCAUUUCAUAUAUGGUUUUUUUUUAUAUAAUUUGGGCUCCCAUAUUGGGUGUAAUAAUGAAUCUCUCUAUUUAUUUUGGGGAAAUAUAUGUAUAUAUAUAUACAAAGAGCUUCCAUUGAGGGAUCCUUCAAAUAAGCUUAUUUGAGGGACACUCCUUGUAGGCCCCAAUCCGGAUUGUAUUUCACUAAUCCAAACCGUCUAUUUUGUAGAUACUCAUUCAAAGAUCAUCUAUACAAAAAAUCACUUGAAUCCGAUAUCAUGUGACCACUCAAUUGAGUUAUUGAAAUUUUAGUACUUUCUUAAAGCACCGUGUUCAUUGAUUUUGUAAGACACAAUUGGAUGUCUAAACGGUUUCCGAUUUGUCUAAUUUUUUGUAAGGAUGAUCUAUGAAUAAAUACCUAAAAAUAGAUGGUUUGGAUUAUUGGGAAAAGAAUUGUAGGGUACCCUAAAGGGCGUCCCUCAAAUAAAAUUAUUUGAGAAAUCUCUCAAUAGAAGGGGACUGUAUAUAUAUAUAUAUUGAUUGCUCUUGUGAAUAAUUUUACUGUUUAUAAGAAAGGUUGUGUAUUUCAAUUUGUUUGAUCCUAGGUAAAAGUUCAGUCGGCAGAGGAUACAGGUCCAUUAAGGAAGAAAGUUUUCGGAACCUGUCCUCUCUCGUAAUACAGUGGGGUCUGAAGCCAGUUCCACACCAUUAUACAGUUGGGACAAAUUAGACGACGGAAGCUCCCAGGUGCCAGCACAUGGAGAUUGUAUUUUCUUUGGUCGACCAAGUUGACUAAAUUAAAUUUGGCAGCACAGGCAUGCGCCAAACGUAUGUAAAUUGUUUAUCUAAUCAUCGGUAUACUAGUGCCUAUUUCAUCUUUUUGUUAAAUGUUAGCGUAAAUAAUAUUGUACUUAUUAUUCCUUGAUGGAUAUUGAACCUUUUGGUGGCUGAGAGAGCAGGCUGUAAGUAAAUUUUUAUGGUGCUUAGAUAGUAGCUACUGAAUCGCUGUGGCCUAUCACACCAUCUAGUUACUGAGCAAUCUCAUACAAACAACCAUUGAUUUUACAUAGAACGAACCGAAAAACAAGGAUAAGAAAGCAAUAGAUCAGAGUAGAAGGAACAUUUACAAACAUGGAGACACGGGACUAUUUGUGACACUUUAUUUAGUACAUGAAAAUAUGGUAAGCUUUAUAUUAUACAUGUUACCAAUAUAUAUGAGAAGAAAACACCAAAUUCAACGUUGUACCAAUCUACUUGGAUAACGCUAGCUCAAAGCUAGAACUGGUGAAGGCUCUAGUAUUCGGUGCACAUGCUCAUACACUUGCCACCUUCACAUACCCUGAUGCAGUUCUCAGUGUUGGAUACGGGAGGUAUGCAUUUAAGAGCUUUCUUGCAAGGAAUGGUCCAGCAACCCACAAUCACGACGACGGAAAAGCAUAUAAACAGACCCAUGCAAAGUAGAAAGUAGAAAUCAUGCAGCUUUUUUUGGUAAUUAUCAACAGGCACAACCUGCCUUUGUUCCGGUUCAUCCUUAAUUUCUACACUUGUAGGAUCUUGACAAGUAACCUGCCCUGAAGCUUCUAUUUUUAUUGAACUCCAGUACGAUAAUAUGUUAUUUUUGAGCCCAUGAUCUGAAUGUGAAGUUUCUAGCUUCUCCAGAUCACUUUCCAAUUUAUUGCGCUCACUCUUGGUUCGGUUUCUCUGCAUGACGCUUCUUUUAUAAUUGCCUCCAAUUACAAGCAAUGAAACCAAGUUGAGUAUGGCUGCUAUUAGAGAGAGGCUGAAAAGGAACCAGCGAUCUGAGCAUCGCAGCGCUCUGGUACCACUGACGAUAACCCCUAAAAUAAUUCCUUGAAAGACGAAGUAGUAGUUUGCAAGGUUGAAGGCACUCGUUUGAAGUUCAUUUACACGAUCGAUCUGCUUGUCAACUGUAGUUUGUAGCUGCUGUUUUCUUUUCUCCAUGAUUUCUUUUUUUUCAUUGUCACCAUUGGGUGGACAUGGAUGGUUAACCAUACUUAAACUAAGAGAGCUAAAGAUAUAAGAAUAAUGCAGAGAGUCUUAGAGUAAAGUCCCCUCCUCCUCCAUACAACUUAUAUACACAGAGAUACUGCUGGCUUUUUGAAUAAUCCAAACUCACCUCCUCCUCCAUACAAUAAAUACACAGAGAUACUGUUGGCUUUUUGAAUAAUCCAAACUCACUCUCACACUCAUUCUAAAACAAAGGACUUAAAGUAAAGCAAGACUUCUCAGUGCAGGACGUCCGUUCUUUGUUAAAGGACUGAUUCUCUAUUGAUAAUGUUGUCGACGACGUAUCAAUCAGGACGAAUCCAGGAUUUCAAAACUCCGUGGGCUAAAUUUACUUUACGUUCGCAGGAAAUUUCAGCGGUGAGGGCUAUAUCGCACCGAGUUGGACUUUACAACACGUGUGAGAGAAAAAAGAGAUACACAUAAUCAAAAAGGAGAAAUGAAGGAAAAAAAAACAAGAGAAAAGCAAAAAAAAAUAUAUAUAUAGGAAGAAGAAACUGUGGGAAAAAGCUCAAUUCGUAGUAGAUCCAAACCAUAAAAAAAUGGAGAAACAAAGGAUCACUACAAGAAAAAACCUUUUUCGCGACCAAAUUCCCUGCGACCAACCAAAUUUUGGUCGCCAAAAGAAGCUUAUAGGCGACAAAAUUAUGGAAUUUGGUCGCCAAAGGUUUCGUUAACUAUAAGACUUCAGCGAACGGAAUGGCGACCAACUAUUAUUCAAAGGCAACCGAAAUUUUUUGUGGCCAGCUGACAAUUUGGCGACCAAACAUGUGUUUGGUCGCCAUUUUUUGAAAUGGUGCGCACAGGAAAAUGAAAAAUUAGGGGCAACGAAAAUAUUUGGUCGCCAAAUUUGCCAGAAUGGUCUCGAAAAGAAAACUCGCGCCUAAAUAUUUCAUGGGGUUUGCGACUAAUAUAUUUUCGUCGCCAAUAAGAGGUUUUACGAAUUGAAAUUUUAAAAACUACGUCGUUUUUACUGACCUUGCUGUUUGGCCACCAAACGUUUUUGUGGCUGAUUCUUGAGACUUAAAUUUUAGAACCCUCUUCUCUCUGCCCAAUUCACUUCUCUAUACCUCCUCUCUGCAUCGCGCACACCAUCGUUACUCCGGCGUCGACAGAACAAUUGUCCACCGACGACGACUAGUCAUAUAGAAACUCUCUUCCCCUAUGAUUUCUCUUGGCAUGAGUUACUUAUUUCCCCCUCUCUCUGCCCCUAAUUUUCUAGAAUCUUCUCAGCCACUUACUUCUUCUGCUGCCUCUCUUCAGGUAUGGACACCAUCUCUCUGACACUAAUUUUCUAGAAUCUCUAGAAUCUCCUCAGCCAUUUCCCUCUUCUAUUGCCUCUCUUUAUGUAUGAAUGCCAGUUUCUUUGAAUUUUUUAGUUUUGAGUUUUGGGUUUGCCAUAUUUUGAUCUGGCACUUACAAAUGAACCCUGAUUCUGUUAUCUCUCUCACACACAUGAGAAAUUCAUUGUUUGUUAAAAAAUGACGGUGAGAUUUCUGUUCCAGAAUCAGGAAAAUAUGCUACUUCUGUGAAUGCAUGAUAAAAUACGGGAAUUGGCCUUGCCGAAAAGAGGCAAACUCCUUGUCUUCUUAAAGUUUUGUUCUUGAUACCACACAUGUUGAUUCUAUAUAGAAAGUUGAUAAGUAAUAUGUGCUUAUUCCUUCAUGUCUAACCUUGAGUCUGUUGCUUGGCAUUAUGUUGAAAGCUGAAUAUAUGCUACUAAUUUUGACAGAAGAUGUAAGGCUAUGUGGUUUUAUGUUGGGGUUUUACCUUGGAUAUUUGCCCCUUUUAUGAUUGCUUUCAUUAUGAUGGUUUGGAUUAAUAAGCAAAAAAAUAAUCUUGUUUUUAUACUGUUAUGUUUUUAUGUUUUCGAUUGUGAUGUUCAUUGAAAUUAAGGGCAGAGGUUUAGACUAUUUUGAGUCUGGAGACUAAUUUGGUCUCAACCUCUCCCAAAAUUAAGUCUUUUGCUAUGUUUUUCUUUUGUAAAAUCAAUUAUCUAGCUGCUUCAAUUUUUUUUGUACUUUUUAAAUGAUUAUAGUGUUCUACACUUGAAAAUCAUAUGUACAUUGCUUGUUCUCUAGUGGGAUCCUUUUUGUUUUUUCAAUUAACUUAAAUGAGAGGAUUUCUUUGCUAGUCAGCAAUUUUAGAAGAGUAUGUUCGUUAAGUAACAUUCUUGGAGAAGUUUUUGGUUAAUUUUGAGUCUCCAGGAUUAUGAGAAACUGAUGGGUCUUCUUAAGGAUUUGGUUAGCAGCAGGCCAUGGUAUUGGCAUAGAUUACGAAAAUUAACUGUUUUGUACUAUUUUUGCUGUUUUUUUAAAUUUUAUGGUGUCUAACAGAGUUUGUUUUAUGUUUUGCCUUAGGUUUCAGUUUGAAAUACUUGCUUAAGAGGCUAUAUUCUGUCAAGAGGUAUGGAUAGCUAAAAAUCUUGCUUUUUGGUUAAGAGGUAUAUUUGCUUCAAAAUAUUGUUAUCAUUAUCCACAUGAAACUGUUUGCUACUAUCUAUUUGUAUUCUCAUGGCUAUGAAAUUUCAGUUUGCAAUGAAUGGCUAUAUCAAUCUAAAAGGUUAGUUUUGUGUAGAAAUUGAAUGCAAGUAAAUUGUAUUGCAUACCUCUGUGGUGUCUCUAUAGUUGACUAGUCUGUGUUGCAUAUCUAUACUAAGGCCAGCUCCAUGAACAAACUGUGUUCUGGAUUGGGCCCUAAUUUGGGGCCAUAUCUAUUAAAAGUUUAAUUUGAACUUAUUCAGUGGUCCAAAUAAAUAUCUAAUUCAGGGACCAAAUUAGUUUAACUCAAAUAAAAUGGAAAAACAACUGAAAGGUAGAGUAGCUCAGCAACAUCAUUUCUCAGUGUUCAUUCCAACCUCAAAUUACCUUUUUAUACAACUUCAGUCCUCAUUCAACAUGAUUUAUUUUGACACAUAGAUUGAGGAUUUACUGGUUCAAACUUGAAAGUAUAUAUACAUAUUGUAUCCCCAUUAUAAAAAUAUUUUUUUAUGUAGCAAUGUUUUAAUUCUAAUUAAGUCUGUUGUUGUUCAAGAGAGUUUUUUUGAUGUUGAUCCUAUGAGCAUGUGUUAAUUUGCUUGGCUGAGUAUGAUGGAGGAGAUAAAAUAAGAGUUCUCCUGUGUUGUGAUGAAUUUCAUAUGGAAUGCAUUGACAAAUGGCUAAAAGAAAAGCAAGGGUACAUUCAUUACUUCUGUGAUACUUAUCCUAGUUUACCAAGUGCUUGCUUUUGAUGAAUUAUAUUCCUAUAUAUGACGAUAUCUUAUAUUCUCCAUAUGCUAGAGUCUUCAGAUUAGCUGACAUGAAUUAAUUUUCCAAUUUCAUUGCCUGAUUUUUUUUUCUUCCAGCUAUUUGCAUUAGACUUGAAAUUUUCCUAAGAAACUCCUUGAUCAGCCUGUGUCAAUAAUUCUUUCAUUGAUUAUAUAUUGUUCUCUCAUUUUUCUGAAGUUAACUUGAUUGAGUUGUCAUGCACUGCCUGAAAUUUUGGAUACCAUGUGAGUUAUAAGUUGCGAAUGAAAUUGAGACGAAAAACAAUGAACUCUAUUUUUAUAAGAAAAUUAGUCUGCUUUGAGUUUAAGUUUGUUUUUUCUUGAUACGUAAGUAGGAGAUUUUAAAUUGGGCUUGUUUGUGCUUUUUGUGCAUCUGCAUAUAUAGCAAUAAAAGGAAAGUGAUGGUUCCAAUAGAGCAGAUCAAAGAUGUACCACAUUAAUACCAAUUUGUAUUUUGUGUUACUCUGUAUAUACAUAUUUGACAUUGCUUUAUUUUGUUUCUUUGGUAGAGGCAGAUGACGAAUGAGUUUGAGAAGCUGAAGCAACAAUUGGUAGAGUAUGAAUUCAUGUCACGGUACAUAUCCCACAAGCUUGGUCUCUAGUCUUCAUGUGGAGAAAAUGAAUGCAUGACUUGGGGUUACAAAGGGAAAGAAAAUUCGGAGCCUGGUCUCUAGUUUUUUUUUAAUUUUUUGGUGAACCUGGACUCUAGUCUUUGAGUGUUCUUCAUUCAUUUAUGCUUCUAGUUUUUGGAUAUAGGGUACGAAAUUUAUGUGUACUUAAAUGACUAGUAUGCUUGUGUGCCUCAGAAUGUUUACAACUUUAUUUAUAUUAUUUUCAAUUGAUUUUGCUUCCCUAAAUUUGUUGUUUUCUGAAAUUACAAUAUGUUUAUUUAUUGUUUUUGAGAAACUCUCCAUUCUUUUUAAUUGACAAAAAAAUAAAAAUAAAAAAACACAUUUUAGCGACGAAAGAAGUAGCUUCAGCGACGAAAUCUCUUAGACCUAUUGGCAACAAACAUUACAUUUGGUCGCCCAAUCCCUUUUAAGUACGCGCCAAUUUUUGGUCUUUUGGUGGGAGGCUACCUUCAUAGGCGACCAACUGAAGUCUAUUAGGCGACGAAACUAUUUGGUCGCUUAAACAAUUUGGCGACGAAAAUUAGCUUUGGUCGCCUGGUACUUUUAGCCACGAGGCUAAGGCGACGACCUUAGCGACGAAAUAAUUUGGUCGCCAAAUUGUUUUGGCGACGAAAUUUGACCUUUUAGCGACGAAAAGUGGUGGUCGCUAAAAGGGUUUUUCCGGAAAAAAAACAAGAGAAAGGUGGAAAAACAAAAAGAAAUAGGAAGAAGAGAGAGAGAAAUGAAGAAAAUAAGAAUGUAAUGGGGGAGUAGCCCAACUUCUUAUAAACUCAGGCUAGGUCCCUUAACAUUUCAAUAUGGGACAAACACUUUCAACACGCCUCCGUACGUGUGGCGAACUUUCAAGCCUAACGCGUGGACAACACAUAUUGGAUGACGUGAGAGCACGUGUGGCCUUUAUGCCAAACACGUGAAGCCUUGCUCUGAUACCAUGAAGAAAGUUGAGGUUCUACCCCAAAACCAAUUAGCAAUGGGGGGAGUAGCCCAACUCUUUAUAAACCCAAGCUAGGUCUCUUAACAUUUCAAUAUAGAACAAACACUCUCAACAAGAAUAUGGGUAUUGAAAUUUUCUUUUUUUAAAAUGCAUGGGCUAGAGAGAGAGACGUAGACUACAUGACAUUGACAAAAAAAAGAAAAAAAGCAUGGGCUAUAGCCCACACAGCCCAAUAGCUAGAUUCGUCAAAAAAUGGAGGACGGAUUUGGUACGUAGGGGAGGAAAGUUGCUCUUGGUACAAACAAACUUCAGCUUCUCUAUAUUGGAAAGUGAGAACAUCUCUUUGGCAAAGUUUACCAUUGAAAGGGAAACUUCCCCUGUUACUGUUAGUACAUUUCAACUUGCUUAAAAUUUUAUUAAUAUUUUAUUACAUGUAAGGGAAAAAUAAAACUCACAAAUCAUCUCUCACACAACUACAGCUGGCCUGAAGCCAUCUCCACACAGGACUUUCUCCUGUUGGUUCGAUGCAGUAUGUGGUCAAACUGUACAUAAAACAAAAGGAUUGCUUUGCUGUUCUCUGGUACAGUGUUUGAGUGGCUGGCAGCACAACAACUUGAAAAUAAAACCAAGCCAAUAAAAGGACUUAAUACAACCCCAUAUGUAUAAUCUGACACACAAGUUUAUGACAGAAACUUGCUUAGUUGGUUCUCAGCUACGAAAAACAAAUAUGAAAUACUGCAGGUAAGAAACAAAAGACUUAUAGGGCUAUUGAUCAUGCAUGCCACAUGAUGAGUGGUAGAAUAUAGACCACCCUGGAUUGUGCAUGAUCUUCUUUCCACUAUUUCAACUCUUAUGGUUAUAGCCUUGUUAGAUUGUGAUAAGUUGAAAUUGUCUUAGCCUGAAGAUUAUAAUUACACUCCUUCAUGCCUAAAGUAAUCAGAAUCUUAUCUUUUCUAAGGCCUAUAAUUCUUUCAUAAUACCCAGAAAUUCGUAUUCAUUCUUAUUUGUAAAAUCUGUUGACCCAGAAAAUCAUAUAAACCAUUGCAGAUUAAAUAAUUUAGUAAGCUUUAUUUUAUAUAUAUAUAUAUAUAUAUAUAUAUAUAUAUUACCAAUCUAUGAGAAAUAAAACACCAAAUUCAACGUAAGCUGGUACUAAUCAACUUGGAUAACCCCAGCUCAAAGCUAGAACUCUUGUAAGCUCUACUAUUCGGUGCACAUGCUCAUACACUUGGCACCUUCACAAACCCUAAUGCAUUUCUCAGUGCUGGAUACGGGUGGUAUGCAUUGAAAAGCUUCCUUGCAAGGAAUGGUCCAGCAACCCACAACCACGAUGACGGCAAAGGAUACAAAGAGACCCAUGCAAAGUAGAAAGUAGAAAUCACGCAGCUGUUUGUGAAGAUUAUCAACCGGCACAACCCGCUUCCUGAUCUGCCUUUGUUCCGGUUCAUCCUUAAUUUCAACAGUUGUAGGAUCUUGACAAGUAACAUGCCCUGAAGCUUCAAUUUUUGUCGACUCCCAGUACGAUAAUAUAUUAGUUUUGAGCCCGUGAUCUGAAGCUGAAGUUUCUAGCUUCCCCAGAUCGUUUUCCAAUUUAAUGUGCGCACUCUUGGUAUGGUGUCUCUGCAUGACGCUUCUUUUAUAAUUGCCUCCAAUUACAAGCAAUGAAACCAGAUUGAGUAUGGCUGCUAUUAGAGAGAGGCUGAAAAGGAACCAACGAUCUGAGCAUCGGAGGGCUGUGGUGGCGUUGACGAUAGCCCCCAAAAUAACUCCUUGGAAGACAAUGUAGUAGUUUGCAAGGUUGAAGGCACUCGUUUGAAGAUGGUUUACACGAUCAUCCUGCUUCUCAAUUGUAGCUUGUAGCUCCUCUUUUCUUCUCUCCAUGUUCUCCCUUUUUUCUUUGUCACCGUUUUGUGGACAUGGAUGGUUAGUCAUGCUCAAACUAAGUGAGAGAGAGAUAAAGAUAAAGAAUAUGCAGAGAGUCUUAGAGUAUAACGUCUCACACUCAGCUGGUCCUUUCUCUACAAGAUGAACAAUAAUCCAAUACAUAUACACAGCAGAGAUACUAUUGGCUUUGUGAAUAAUCCAAUACACUCACUCUCACACUCAGCUGCUCCUUGUUCUACAAGAUGCACAAUAAAAGUGUCAAAACACGGCAUGAUUUCUC
rnacentral:lncRNA from 1 species